GGGGCCCUAUAGGAGAGCACUGAUGGCCCACCCCUGAUUGUGGCCCUGGUCUUCAUGUCUGCAUCAGCCUCAGCCAUCUCAAGACCACAACAGGAACAUAGCCAAGUCAGAGAAGGAAGACCAAAAGCACCAGGGCCCUUCAUAUUAUUAAGCUGCUAAAUUAACUAAUCUUGGAAACUUCUAGACUCUACAAUUCUUGUUGUAUGAGGUAAUAAACCCCUCGUUUUAUAGGUCAUUUUGGGGGGUUCUUUUAUUAAUCACAACUAAAGCAUUUUAACUGAUAGGAAAGACCACAUAUUGGUGAAAAAGGUCUACAGAGGGACCAGCAGGAGAUGGUAAAGCUAAAGGAGUUUUGCUCUAAUGUUCAAAUCCAUGUCACCUGCCCUAGAGAAUGCUGUUCCUGCUUUUCCCUAGCCACUGUGCUGGGCAUGAGAGGCCCCCUGUCCUCCUUGGGCCCAGAGAACAGAAAAUGUCUUCACUUAUACUCUACUCCCUCACAUUCCUCCACUCUUGGAAGGUUUAACAAGUUCAAGAGAGAAGAUAUUGGCCAAAUACAACACAGAGGCUAAACACAACACCUAUGUUGAUUGUUUGGUGCAUAAGAAUUGAGAUGAUGGAAAGAGGUCACUGUGAGCUUCAGGAAUAGCUUGAGGCUAACUGAUAAAACAGAACUUCUAGCAACUAACCCUGGCAUGACCACCAGAAUCUGCAGGGCUGAGAGAAGAAAGAAAGGCAAAAGUGGAUGAAUGCAGCUGAAGAUGCUGUGGAACUCCUAUCACAUUCCAAGUGCUGUGUUGAUAUCUGGAGAUAUAGACAAGAUCGAAGCAGAUGCAGUCUUUCACAUGAAUAUUUGAAUCAGGCACAGGAUGCAGGUGAUGGGUAUUGGCCUCAGCUUUAGAGACCAGAGGUUAAAUCUCAGUGCUGCCUGCCACAAAACGAUCCAUGUAAGUCAAUAAACAAUGCUUUUUAAAAUAUUAUUAUAAA
rnacentral:lncRNA from 1 species